rnacentral:rRNA from 1 species
UACGUAGGGUGCGAGCGUUGUCCGGAAUUAUUGGGCGUAAAGGGCUCGUAGGCGGUUUGUCGCGUCGGGAGUGAAAACCAGGUGCUUAACACCUGGCUUGCUUUCGAUACGGGCAGACUAGAGGUAUUCAGGGGAGAACGGAAUUCCUGGUGUAGCGGUGAAAUGCGCAGAUAUCAGGAGGAACACCGAUGGCGAAGGCAGGUCUCUGGGCUGGAACUGACGCUGAGGAGCGAAAGCGUGGGUAGCAAACAGG